GUGGGCCUUGCGUUAUUUCUUGGGGUCGCUUUCUUGGCACUGCGACUUGGUCAGCAUCAGUGUUCUCGGGGUUUCGACAGCGUAUAGUGUGUUUGAAACGCUAAGUGCCUUUUUCCAGUUAUCUUCCCUCCUAAGCGAAAAACAAAAACACAAACACCAUGGACGCCAUCAAGAAGAAGAUGCAAGCGAUGAAGCUUGAGAAGGAUAAUGCCAUUGAUAAGGCAGAUACCUGUGAGAAUCAAGCUAAGGAUGCCAACUCCCGCGCCGACAAACUUUACGAGGAGCUGCGCGAUUUGGAGAAGAAGUUCGUGCAGGUUGAAAUCGAUUUGGUCACCGCCAAGGAGCAGCUGGAGAAGGCCAACACCGAAUUGGAAGAGAAGGAGAAACUGUUGACCACCACGGAAUCCGAGGUAGCCACCCAGAACCGUAAGGUCCAACAGAUUGAGGAGGAUUUGGAGAAAUCUGAGGAGCGCUCAACCACCGCACAACAGAAGCUGUUGGAGGCCACACAAUCGGCCGAUGAGAACAACCGUAUGUGCAAAGUAUUGGAGAAUCGUUCCCAGCAGGAUGAGGAGCGUAUGGAUCAGUUGACCAACCAAUUGAAGGAAGCCCGCAUGCUCGCUGAGGAUGCCGAUACCAAGUCCGAUGAAGUGUCGCGCAAGCUGGCCUUCGUUGAAGAUGAGCUGGAAGUGGCUGAGGAUCGUGUCCGCUCCGGUGAAUCCAAGAUCAUGGAGCUGGAGGAAGAAUUGAAGGUUGUCGGCAACUCGCUGAAAUCUCUGGAAGUGUCCGAGGAGAAGGCCAACCAGCGUGUUGAGGAAUUCAAGCGCGAGAUGAAGACCUUGUCCGUCAAGUUGAAGGAGGCCGAACAGCGCGCCGAGCACGCCGAGAAGCAAGUGAAGCGCCUGCAGAAGGAGGUCGACAGGCUAGAAGACCGUCUCUUCAAUGAGAAAGAAAAGUACAAAGCAAUCUGCGACGAUUUGGACCAGACAUUUGCUGAACUUACUGGAUAUUAAAAAAAACAUAAGACCAAAAUACCAAAAACACAAAAAAAUGCCAAACAGUUCCCCACAAUUCUACUCACACACUUACAAGCACAGAUGGAUUUCCUUCCUAUAAAAAACUCGCAUAGACAGUUUUAAUCAUUUUGCGCUAUUUGUCCACCGUGUAGAUUUGCCACAUUUUCAUAGUCACGAUUUACACUGUAAAUAAUUUGAUUAGCCUUGUUUAAAUGUGAUUGCUGUCCAAACUUCAAACACAAUUCCUUGUACCUCCCCCACCCCCCACCACCCCCCACAAAAAAAAAAACUAUACACUGUAAAAAGAUAUGUCCAGGCCAAAGAAAAACAAGUUCCACUCUCCAUAUGACAAUGCCAACUAUAGUUAUUUAUGCUUUCGAAACAACAGACGAGCUGGGCAUCAACAAGGACAGGUACAAGUCCCUGGCCGACGAGAUGGACUCCACAUUCGCCGAAUUGGCUGGCUAUUAAGCGGAGCAGCCUCUGGACCAUGCGCAAGAAGAGGAACUCAACUAAAUGUAAACGAUUUAUCAUCUCAAUAUCAUUUUGGAAAUCAAAAACCUAAAAAAAAAAAACGAAGAGCUACAAUCAAAUACCAAGAACAACAUCUAUUGUGUAUAUCUUUAAGCCAAAUCUAUUUCUAAAUAAAUAAAUAACAACAACAAUAAGGUCUACAAUAUCAGCAACAACACCUAAAAUGUAUGUCAGAUCGAAAUGUUCCCGUAAAGUCAAAUUGUUUAACACAACAAAAUAAGUAGCUACGACAACCACAAGAACAACCAAAACUGAAUUCAAUAAUAAAUUUUUGUAUUUUUAAAA
rnacentral:misc_RNA from 1 species